GAGCUAGUGAGGCAUAGUGGUUUGAGUGUUGGACUAUGAUUCUGGAGUCCAGGGUUAGAUUCCCUGCUUGAUCC